CGUAAGUGAACCAGUACCGUGAGGGAAAGGUGAAAAGCACCCCGGAAGGGGAGUGAAAUAGAUCCUGAAACCAUGCGCUUACAAGUAGUCAGAGCCCGUUAAUGGGUGAUGGCGUGCCUUUUGUAGAAUGAACCGGCGAGUUACGAAUAUAUGCAAGGUUAAGCAGUUAAUGUGGAGCCGUAGCGAAAGCGAGUCUGAAUAGGGCGUUGAGUAUUUGGUCGUAGACCCGAAACCAGGUGAUCUACCCAUGACCAGGCUGAAGUUCAGGUAACACUGAAUGGAGGGCCGAACCGACUUACGUUGAAAAGUGAGCGGAUGAGUUGUGGGUAGCGGAGAAAUUCCAAUCGAACCUGGAGAUAGCUGGUUCUCUCCGAAAUAGCUUUAGGGCUAGCCUUAAGUAAUGAUUAUUGGAGGUAGAGCACUGUUUGGACGAGGGGCCCUUAUCGGGUUACCGAAUUCAGACAAACUCCGAAUGCCAAUCAAUUUUAUCUUAGGAGUUAGAACGCGGGUGAUAAGGUCCGUGUUCGAAAGGGAAACAGCCCAGACCACCAGCUAAGGUCCCGUCGACGCGGCCG
rnacentral:rRNA from 1 species